AUGUAUCUAUAUCUAAAAUACGUUAAGAUACAUCCAUUUCUGCGACAAGUAAUUCCGGAUGGAGGGAGUAAUACUUUAUAUGAGGUGUAUUUGUUUUUCCAAAAGUCAAAUGAGUGCAUGUUUGACCGAGUUUUUAGAAAAAUAUAUCAUAUCCACAAUAUGAAAUUUAUGUCAUUUGAUCCAUCAUUAAAAGUAGUUUUGUAUUUUAUCUAUAAUCUUUGGUCAAACAUUCAAAUGGUUGACUUGCACGGAAGUCAAUACACCUUUUAUUCUGGAACGGAGAGAGUAAUAGCUUGCUCCUUCUGCCAUCAAGUUAUCCCUGAGAGUCAUAAGAAUCCUCUGUUUCUCCUUGUUGAAUCUUUUGCUCGUUAUGGAGCUGUCCACUAUCUAUACAUGUGUAGUUCUUUAUUCAUUAUGCAGCCUUCUGUUAGUACUAGUUUGGUGUGCUAUUUUGAAGCAAAAACUCUAGGAACCACACUACGGUGA
rnacentral:rRNA from 1 species